rnacentral:rRNA from 1 species
GUCGAGAAUAAUUCACAAUGGACGAAAGUCUGAUGGUGCAACGCCGCGUGGAGGAUGAAGGUCUUCGGAUUGUAAACUCCUGUCAUCGGGGAGUAAGACCUGGCGGUAAAUAGCCGACAGGGUUGAUAGUACCCGAAGAGGAAGGGACGGCUAACUUCGUGCCAGCAGCCGCGGUAAUACGAAGGUCCCAAGCGUUGUUCGGAAUCACUGGGCGUAAAGGGGGCGUAGGCGGCGUGGUAAGUCAGAUGUGAAAUCCCGGGGCUCAACCCCGGAACUGCAUCCGAUACUGCCAUGCUUGGGGGUUGGAGAGGUAGCUGGAAUUCUCGGUGUAGCAGUGAAAUGCGUGGAGAUCGAGAGGAACACUCGUGGCGAAGGCGAGCUACUGGACAACAUCUGACGCUGAGGCUCGAAGGCCAGGGGAGCAAAAGGGAUUAGAUACCCUAGUAGUCC